AUUGAACGCUGGCGGCAGGCCUAACACAUGCAAGUCGAGCGGAGCGGCGGACGGGUGAGUAAUGCCUAGGAAUCUGCCUGGUAGUGGGGGAUAACGUCAGGAAACGGGCGCUAAUACCGCAUACUAUCAGAUGAGCCUAGGUCGGAUUAGCUAGUUGGUGGGGUAAAGGCCUACCAAGGCGACGAUCCGUAACUGGUCUGAGAGGAUGAUCAGUCCAACUGGAAUGGAGACAAGGGCCAGACUCCGACGGGAGGCAGCAGUGGGGAAGUUUGGACAAUGGGCGAAAGCCGGAUCCAGCCAUGCGGGGUGUGUGAAGAAGGUCUUCGGAUUGUAAAGCACUUUAAGUUGGGAGACGUUACCAACAGAAGAAGCACCGGCUAACUUCGUGCCAGCAGCCGCGGUAAUUC
rnacentral:rRNA from 1 species